rnacentral:misc_RNA from 1 species
GGGCAAUGCUCUCUUACAUCACACAAGAGAGUCCUUCACUGACAUAUAUGGCAGAAAGCUCAGCUCCAUCUCAACAGUCCUGUCACAAGCCGGCCGCCUCAUCAGCCCUGAAACUAUUCGGUUUCCCAUUAACUGAGCACCGUGAAAUACUAGCCAAAACUGAGAAUUGUGCUGAAAGCAGGAAAUUCGAGUGCCAUUUUUGCCGGCGAGCCUUUGCCAAUUCACAAGCGCUAGGAGGCCAUCAAAAUGCGCACAAGAGAGAGCGGCAAAGAGCCAGGCGUGUCCAAUACUAUUGUGAUCGGCGCUUGUUUACAGCUGCUCCAGUUCUGAGCACACAUGCUGUGAAAGCAUCAUCAUCUUCCAUUUCUACAGGAGGAUUUACUAGCGUCGGUGUUGCUGCUAAAUUUAGGCCACAAGCAGCUGCAAGUCAUUGUCCGUCAUCGACGACAAGGCCCCUGCUGCUUCCAUCACCUCCUUCUAAGUUAACCUCUCUAAUUUAUGUUAGGCAGCCUUUGCACGUGGGUACUGCUAUGCCAUCGUUUGUUGAAUUUCCUGGUAAAUCGUUGUCUGAUGAGGAUGUAGGGAUUGAUCUUUGUCUCAAACUAACUCCUUCCGUUUAGUCAUAUAUAGUUGAAACCAGUUAACAGUAUGCAAUUUUUUCCUUUUUUUUCUUUGAAUUAUUUUCUUUUGGGAGACACCCUUUUAAGUUCUAAUGCUUUUCAGUGAGUUUGAUCGUUAUGAAAUUAUUCAGCUCAAAAUUCCCCAAUCGUUAUGAAACAGUUAAC